UACGAAGGGUGCAAGCGUUACUCGGAAUUACUGGGCGUAAAGCGUGCGUAGGCGGUUCGUUAAGUCUGUCGUGAAAGCCCUGGGCUCAACCUGGGAAUUGCGAUGGAUACUGGCGAGCUAUAGUACGGUAGAGGAUGGUGGAAUUCCCGGUGUAGCGGUGAAAUGCGUAGAGAUCGGGAGGAACACCCGUGGCGAAGGCGGCCAUCUGGACCAGUACUGACGCUGAGGCACGAAAGCGUGGGGAGCAAACAGG
rnacentral:rRNA from 1 species